CCUACGGGGGGCUGCAGUAACGAAUCUUCCGCAAUGCACGAAAGUGUGACGGAGCGACGCCGCGUGUGGGACGAAGUCCUUCGGGAUGUAAACCACUGUCAGGGGUAAGAAAGUUCUGAUCUACCCCAGAGGAAGGCACGGCUAACUCUGUGCCAGCAGCCGCGGUAAGACAGAGGUGCCGAGCGUUAGGCGGAAUCACUGGGCUUAAAGCGUGUGUAGGCGGCCUUCUAAGUCAGACGUGAAAUCCCUCGGCUCAACCGGGGAACUGCGUCUGAGACUGGAAGGCUUGAAUUCGGGAGAGGGAUGUGGAAUUCCAGGUGUAGCGGUGAAAUGCGUAGAUAUCUGGAGGAACACCGGUGGCGAAGGCGGCAUCCUGGACCGAUAUUGACGCUGAUGCGCGAAAGCCAGGGGAGCAAACGGGAUUAGAUACCCUAGUAGUC
rnacentral:rRNA from 1 species